rnacentral:rRNA from 1 species
GACGAACGCUGGCGGCGUGCUUAACACAUGCAAGUCGAACGGAAAGGCCCUGCUUUUGUGGGGUGCUCGAGUGGCGAACGGGUGAGUAACACGUGAGUAACCUGCCCUUGACUUUGGGAUAACUUCAGGAAACUGGGGCUAAUACCGGAUAGGAGCUCCUGCUGCAUGGUGGGGGUUGGAAAGUUUCGGCGGUUGUGGAUGGACGCGCGGCUUAUCAGCUUGUUGGUGGGGUAGUGGCUUACCAAGGCUUUGACUGGUAGCCGGCCUGAGAGGGUGACCGGCCACAUUGGUACUGAGAGACGGACCAGAGUCCUACGGGAGACAGCAGUGGGGAAUCUUACACAAUGGGCGGACGCGUGAUGCAGCAACGCCGCGAGCGUGAUGACGGCCUUCGGGUUGUAAACCGCUUUCGCCUGUGACGAAGCGUGAGUGACGGUAAUGGGUAAAGAAGCACCGGCUAACUACGUG